AUUGAACGCUGGCGGCAGGCCUAACACAUGCAAGUCGAGCGGAUGAAGGGAGCUUGCUCCUGGAUUCAGCGGCGGACGGGUGAGUAAUGCCUAGGAAUCUGCCUGGUAGUGGGGGAUAACGUCCGGAAACGGGCGCUAAUACCGCAUACGUCCUGAGGGAGAAAGUGGGGGAUCUUCGGACCUCACGCUAUCAGAUGAGCCUAGGUCGGAUUAGCUAGUUGGUGGGGUAAAGGCCUACCAAGGCGACGAUCCGUAACUGGCCUGAGAGGAUGAUCAGUCACACUGGAACUGAGACACGGUCCAGACUCCUACGGGAGGCAGCAGUGGGGAAUAUUGGACAAUGGGCGGAAGCCUGAUCCAGCCAUGCCGCGUGUGUGAAGAAGGUCUUCGGAUUGUAAAGCACUUUAAGUUGGGAGGAAGGGCAGUAAGUUAAUACCUUGCUGUUUUGACGUUACCAACAGAAUAAGCACCGGCUAACUUCGUG
rnacentral:rRNA from 1 species